CCUACGGGGGGCAGCAGUGAGGAAUAUUGGUCAAUGGGCGCGAGCCUGAACCAGCCAAGUCGCGUGAGGGAAGACGGUCCUAUGGAUUGUAAACCUCUUUUGUCGGGGAGCAAAAGACGCCACGCGUGGCGUUCCGAGAGUACCCGAAGAAAAAGCAUCGGCUAACUCCGUGCCAGCAGCCGCGGUAAUACGGAGGAUGCGAGCGUUAUCCGGAUUUAUUGGGUUUAAAGGGUGCGCAGGCGGAAGAUCAAGUCAGUGGUAAAAUUGAGAGGCUCAACCUCUUCGAGCCGUUGAAACUGGUUUGCUUGAGUGAGUGAGAAGUAUGCGGAAUGCGUGGUGUAGCGGUGAAAUGCAUAGAGAUCACGCAGAACUCCGAUUGCGAAGGCAGCAUACCGGCGCUCAACUGACGCUCAUGCACGAAAGUGUGGGUAUCGAACAGGAUUAGAUACCCUUGUAGUC
rnacentral:rRNA from 1 species